CCUACGGGAGGCAGCAGUGAGGAAUAUUGGUCAAUGGACGAGAGUCUGAACCAGCCAAGUAGCGUGAAGGAUGACUGCCCUAUGGGUUGUAAACUUCUUUUAUACGGGAAUAAAGAGCGGUAUGCAUACCGCGUUGCAUGUACCGUAUGAAUAAGGAUCGGCUAACUCCGUGCCAGCAGC
rnacentral:rRNA from 1 species